rnacentral:lncRNA from 1 species
GUGAAUGUGUUAGGAUUGAGUUCCCGCAUUCAUAAAAGAGUAGCUUCGAGCUAAAGAAUAUCAUAUGGUUGAUAUGUGCAUAAAUACAUGCAUUCAUGAUUGUAUGUGAACAUUGGAAACUUGAGUUCCAAUAACGAAAAUGGAUUAUGUGUCCAUAAUGAAGCCGAGGAUCGGAUUAUAUGAAUCCAUGAGUCCAGAGCUGCUAUCCAACAGGAUAUAAAACUGUGUUGGCAUAUCCAAGGGAGAUAAGAUGGUUCGGUAAGUUCCGACAUAUCCAGCAAGAUAUAACACUGUUCUUGGUCCACCGUUGGUGAGACGCCUUGGUACCACAUGCAUUUAGUCAUGUCUAGGGAUGGGAUGACAGUGAAUUAAUUGGCAUUAGAUUGCAUUAGGGUAUAUGCACAUUUACUUGGUAAUUGUUAUGUGACAUUACUUGACUGGUUUUGACGUGUUUGCUGUAAGUAGCAUACUAGGUAAAUUCCUAUGUAUUUAAUACUGUAAUUGUAUGGCGUGAGUUAGAAUAUGUAUGAUAGUUCGAAAGUGUAAGGCCUUUCUUAUACUCGUAUGAUAUGCGAAUAUGUUUUCUAACUCUCUGCUUUGUGUUAAUUGCUGGACCUUUGGGGGUUCAGAUAUCCAGAUUGACAGGUUAUAUGUUAGCUUGUCCGAGUAGCGUGGUGAAGCUCCGCUCUGAUUGUGACACGGGGAGAAAAGGGGUUUUGUACAUAUAUAUAUAUAAAUUCCUUUAGAAAAUUACCCUGUAAUUGCUUAUGUUUUCAUAUAAGAAUUAUUCUUGGUGAAAAGUAUUGGUUUUGUAUAACUUAUAACGCAUCGUGUUGAUGCGGAGGAUUUUGUAUUUUGUGAUAUUCAAACCAGCGCUUUAUAAUCAGAUUUUCACUUUUUCCGCUGCGUAUUUUCGAAAAAGAUUUUAUAAAGGCAGAGUUAAUAAAAUAACGGGUUUGGGUGUUACAAACAGCUCCUGCCAGAACUGCUCAAAACAUGCGAUUUCCACCCAAAUUCACCCAAAAAUC